rnacentral:rRNA from 1 species
AGAGUUUGAUCGUGGCUCAGAACGAACGCUGGCGGCGUGGCUAAGGCAUGCAAGUCGAACGGGAUUUUCUCGGUAGUAAUACUGUGAAAGUUUAGUGGCGAACGGGUGAGUAAUGCAUGGUUAACGUACCCUAUACUCAGGGAUAGCGGCGGGCUUCGGCCCUUUGCGAAAGUGCCGGUAAUACCUGAUAAUAUUCAUUGGUCGCAUGGCCGAUGGAUCAAAGAAUUUCGGUGUAGGAGCGGUCCAUGUCCUAUCAGCUUGUUGGUGGGGUAACGGCCUACCAAGGCGUUGACGGGUAGCUGGCGUGAGAGCGUGACCAGCCACAUCGGGACUGAGACACUGCCCGGACACCUACGGGUGGCUGCAGCAACGAAUAUUCCGCAAUGGACGCAAGUCUGACGGAGCGACGCCGCGUGGAGGAUGAAGUCCCUUGGGAUGUAAACUUCGAUAGUAUGUCAGGAAGAUCUGACCAGCAUACGAAAGGGGUGGCUAACUCCGUGCCAGCAGCCGCGGUAGUACGGAGACCCCUAGCGUUGUUCGGAUUUACUGGGCUUAAAGCGGGUGUGGGCGGAACGGUAAGUACUUUAGUGAAAUCCCCGGGCUUAACCCGGGAAUUGCUGGGUAUACUGUCGUUCUUGAGGUAGGCAGGGGUCACUGGAACCUUAGGUGGAGCGGUGAAAUGCGUAGAUAUCUAAGGGAACGCCUGUGGCGAAAGCGGGUGACUGGGCCUAUUCUGACGCUGAGACCCGAAAGCGUAGGUAGCGAACGGGAUUAGAUACCCCGGUAGUCUACGCCGUAAACGAUGCGUACUAGGUUCGAGGAUUCUGACAAUCUUCGUGCCGUAACAAAAGCGUGAAGUACGCCGCCUGGGGAGUACGGCCGCAAGGCUAAAACUCAAAGGAAUUGACGGGGGCUCACACAAGCGGUGGAGCAUGUGGAUUAAUUCGAAGCAACGCGAAGAACCCUACCUGGGUUGAACUACAGCGGAUGCCCUCGGUGAAAGUCGAGUAGGCUGCCUUCGGGUGAAACGUUGAUAGGUGCUGCAUGGCUGUCGUCAGCUCGUGCUGUGAAGUGUCGGGUUAAGUCCCUUAACGAGCGAAACCCCUGUCGUUAGUUGCCAGCGGGUCAUGCCGGGGACUCUAGCGAGACUGCCGGCGUUAAGCCGGAGGAAGGUGGGGACGACGUCAAGUCAUCAUGGCCUUUAUGCCCAGGGUGUCACACGUGCUACAAUGGGACGUACAGAGCGAUGCAAGACCGCGAGGUGGAGCAAAUCGCAGAAAGCGUCCCUCAGUUCGGAUUGGGGUCUGCAAUUCGACCCCAUGAAGUUGGAAUCGCUAGUAAUCGCGCGUCAGCCAUGGCGCGGUGAAUAUGUUCCUGAGCCUUGUACACACCGCCCGUCAAGUCAUGGAAGCCGGGAGUUCCCGAAGUCGCAGAGAUUCGUCUGUGCCGACGGAAAGCCUGGUGACUGGGACUAAGUCGUAACAAGGUA